CCCUUAGAUGUUCUGGGCCGCACGCGCGCUACACUGAACAGAUCAGCGUGUAUUCCCUUCCUGAGAAGGACGGGUAAACCGCUGAGCCCUGUUCAUGGUAGGGAUCGGGGCUUGCAAUUAUUCCCCGUGAACCAGGAAUUCCCAGUAGGCGCAAGUCAUAAGCUUGCGUCGAUUACGUCCCUGCCCUUUGUACACACCGCCCGUCGCACCUACCGAUUGAAUGGUCCGGUGAAAUCUUCGGAUCUGAGAGAUGUCUGAUUAAUUUCGGACGCCUUUUGGAAAAGUUGUUUAAACCUUACCAUUUAGAGGAAGGUGAANUCGUAACA
rnacentral:rRNA from 1 species